UAUACUUGGCUCCUAGUUCUCCCUCCUUUCCAUUUCUCAUGGUUACUCUCCAUCCUGCUGACCAACUGCAGAGGUAGGGAGGGCCAUUCUAAACAUCAGGCUCCUGCAGUGACAACAAUCCCCAGCCUUCUCACAGGGGAGAGCAGCACCACUGCUUCUCAGCCCAAGCUGCCUUCCUCUUGUGUUUCUCCCACUAGUACAGAGUCAGUUCAGUCACUCAGUCAUGUCCAACUCUUUGCUACCCCAUGGACUGCAGCACGCCAGGCCUCCCUGUCCAUCACCAACUCCUGGAGUUUACUCAAACUCAUGUCCAUUGAGUCGGUGAUGCCAUCCAUCUCAUCCUCUGUCGUACCCUUCUCCUCCUGCCUUCAAUCUUUCGCAGCAUCAGGGUCUUUUCAGAUGAGUCAGUUCUUUGCAUCAGGUGGCCAAAGUAUUGGAGUUUCAGAGUAGUAUCUAUUACAGACUGUUUAUAGAAUAAAGCAUUGGGUGGAGGCAAAAAAGUUUAUUCAGAAGUGAAUCCCAAUAACUUGAAAGUAGGAAAUAACAGUCAGAGAAGGAAAUGGCAACCCACUUCAGUAUUCUUGCCUGGAAAAUUCCAUGGACAGAGGAGCCUGAUGGGCUCCAGUCCAUGGGGUCACAAAGAGUUGGACAUGACUGAGCACGCAUGCACACACAAAAAUACUCAAAAUAGCUCAGAGUGUGUCUGGUACAGAUAAACUGCUAUAUGAGUCUCCUACAAAGAGGAGAGGGAUUAUUUUGGCUGAAGUGAUCUGGGAAAGCUUCAUGAUGUAGAAAACAGCAUUUAACUUGCUGCCUGAAGCAGAGAGAGGAUUUUAAUUCGUGAAACUGGAAAGAGAGAGUGAUCCACAUGCAGGAGUUAGCAUGCAUAAAACUGCUGGAACCUCUGUGUAAUGAUGAGAAUAUGGGAAUGAUCCAUUAGAGAUGAAAAUGAUGAUGAAGAUGAAGAUGGGUGAGGAGAAGGGGUUGAAUUAUGAUAUACUGUGGAAACUUCAUCCCUACUGGAAAGAGACCAAGUUUCAGCAGUCAGAUGAAAUGACUCCCUGUGUUAAACAUCUAGGGUCUGAACUGGAUUUUAAACCAGUUUCACUAAUAAGUUACAUGCUUCUGGCACAAAUUAGAAGUAAAUGCAGGAAAAAAAAAAAAGCAUACUUAUCAACUAAUCAGGUCAGGAAGCAACAGUUAGAACUGGACAUGGAACAACAGACUGGUUCCAAAUAGGAAAAGGCUGUAUAUUGUCACCCUGCUUAUUUAACUGAUAUGCAGAGUACAUCAUGAGAAACGCUGGGCUGGAAGAAGCAUAAGCUGGAAUCAAGAUUGCUGGGAGAAAUAUCAAUAACCUCAAAU
rnacentral:lncRNA from 1 species